rnacentral:misc_RNA from 1 species
AAAAUGAGAGGUGUUGUUUGGUUAGAUAAUUCCGUUAAAACGGAGAAAAAUGAAAGUAAUUCACUACCUGAAUUGAGAAUUUCAGCUGAUACUUCACAUUUUACCUAUAAUAACAAGCAGGGCCAUCGAUCUGCUAUUCGAAUUUCGAGGAUUUUAUCGGAGACAUUGAGGUUGGGAAAAGAGAAUGUGCGGUGGUUUGUGAUGGGUGAUGAUGAUACUGUAUUCGUAACGGAGAAUUUGUUGAGAAUUUUAAAUAAAUAUGAUCAUAAUCAGUACUAUUACAUUGGUAGUUUGAGUGAAAGUCAUUUGCAGAAUAUUUAUUUUUCUUAUAGUA